AUGGAGCUGCUGAUGCAAAAUGAUAAUGGAGUUAACUUUGUAUCACUGUGGUACACGUUUGGUGGAGGAACCAGACUGGAAGUUGACUUGGGUCAUGUGUCCCCCUCCCUGACCGUGCUCCUCCCCUCCACCAAGGAGCUGCAGCAGGGGAAGGCCACACUCAUGUGUGUGGCCAACAAGGGCUUCCCCUCAGACUGGACUCUGUCCUGGAAGGUGGUCGGCAGCAGCAGCAGCAACUGGGAGGAGAGCAGGAGCCCCGGGGUGCUGCAGAAGGACGGCCUCUACAGCUGGAGCAGCACCCUGAGGCUCUCUGCAGACCAGUGGGAGAAGGUGACCUGUGAGGCCAAGAGAGGAUCCCAGACUGCAGUCUCAGAGACUCUCAGGAGAGACCAGUGCUCCCAGUCCUGAACUGAAAAUAUGUGACUCUUAAUAGUUUAACUUGUUU